AUUGAACGCUGGCGGCAUGCCUUACACAUGCAAGUCGAACGGCAGCACGGGAGCAAUCCUGGUGGCGAGUGGCGAACGGGUGAGUAAAGUAUCGGAACGUGCCCAGUCGUGGGGGAUAACGUAGCGAAAGUUACGCUAAUACCGCAUACGAUCUAUGGAUGAAAGCGGGGGAUCGCAAGACCUCGCGCGAUUGGAGCGGCCGAUAUCAGAUUAGGUAGUCGGUGGGGUAAAGGCUCACCAAGCCGACGAUCUGUAGCUGGUCUGAGAGGACGACCAGCCACACUGGGACUGAGACACGGCCCAGACUCCUACGGGAGGCAGCAGUGGGGGAUUUUGGACAAUGGGCGAAAGCCUGAUCCAGCCAUGCCGCGUGCAGGAUGAAGGCCCUCGGGUUGUAAACUGCUUUUGUACGGAACGAAAAGGUUUGGCCUAAUAAGCUGAGCUCAUGACGGUACCGUAAGAAUAAGCACCGGCUAACUACGUGCCAGCCGCCGCGGUAA
rnacentral:rRNA from 1 species